CCCAUCUUCUGCGUCGCUCACACUGGGAGCUGUAGACCGGAGCUGUUCCUAUUCAGCCAUCUUGGCUCCUCCCUCCCAGGUAUUUCUUUAUAGCAGUGUGAGAACGGACUAAUACAAGGUGAGCAUGUAAGAAUCACUGGCCUUGAUACUGCAGGCUGAGAACUCUGGCAGCAACUUCCAUGACUUUUGCUCACCAAGCUCUUCCAACAGAUAUGUAGUCCUGGAGCUUGGAAGUCUGCGAUCAGGGUGCCAGCACGAUCAUUUCUGAAACACUUCGUUGAACUCCUCACACCACCAUUCCAGAAGUCCUGCCUGUCCAUGGGCCAUUUCUUAUAUAUAAGGAAGAAUGAUUCAGUGGAUACAACCAAGAACUCAGAGGGUGGAGCCAAGAGCUAAGAAGAAUCAUUCCCAGAGAUCAGGACUGGGCCGUGAUGAAAGAACUAGUGAUGGAUUUCAGAAUUGCUAUGGAAUGCUAUGUGUUUCCUUGUUCCCCUCCUUUGUGAACUGAAGUGUCUACUGUGAUUAUUAAGUUUCUAACUCACCAUUGUAUGUUGGGUAUGUGGGGGCAUAUAAUUUGUUUCUUUAUUUCAUAGGUCCUGAGAUCUAGAGGCUCUGUACUCAAGGAGCUUCACUUGAGGAGCCUCAUCUCCACCUAGACCUGAUUUAGCUGAUGAAAUCCUGGUCCUCAGAUCUAAUCCUGAUGUUAAAAUAGGCUGAGACUUCUGGGGGCCUUGGGGGAAGGUGAAUGUCUUUUGCAUGUGUGAGAAAUGUAAAUAAUUUAUGGCUAGAGAGGAGAGUGUGGUAGACUUAAAAUGGCUGCAAAUUCCUUGUGGCUCCUCCCAUUGAAUCUGGACUGGCUUUAGUCACUGCUUGACUAACAGAAUACAGUAUAUGUGAUGUUGUAGAAUUUUAGUCACAAGAUCACAAAAAACCUUGAUCUUCUGCCAGGGACUUUUUGAAUGCACCUGCCAUGCUGUGAGGAAGUCCAGGUAACCACAUGGAGAACCACACAGAGACAGAAUUUGAGAUCCCCAGCUGGCAGCCCUAGUGGAGCUCCUAGCUGACACCCAACACCAAUUUGCCAGUAAUGAAGAUAAUUCAUUCUGGAAGUGGAUACUCAGUUCCAGUGGAGGCAUCGGGUGACGCUGUGUAGCGCAGAAAUGAGCCAUCCCCACCCAAAUUGCAGACUUAUGAGUAAAAAUAAAUUACUGUUUUGAGCUACUGUUUUAGAGUGGUUUGUUAUGCAGCAUAAAUAACCAUAACGUUCCUUAACCUAGCAACUCCACAUCUAUAUGUCUACCUUAAAUAAACUCUUGUGAAUAAAAAAUAUGAAUGAG
rnacentral:lncRNA from 1 species